AUUGAACGCUGGCGGCAGGCCUAACACAUGCAAGUCGAACGAGUGGCGGACGGGUGAGUAAUGUCUGGGAAACUGCCUGAUGGAGGGGGAUAACUACUGGAAACGGUAGCUAAUACCGCAUACCAUCGGAUGUGCCCAGAUGGGAUUAGCUAGUAGGUGGGGUAAAGGCUCACCUAGGGGACGAUCCCGAGCUGGUCUGAGAGGAUGACCAGCCACCCUGAAACUGAGCCACGGUCCAGACUCCUACGGGGGGCAGCGGUGGGGAAUAUUGCACAAUGGGCGCAAGCCUAAUGCGGCCAUCCCGCGUGUAUGAAGAAGGCCUUCGGGUUGUAAAGUACUUUCGGCGGGGAGACGUUACCCGCAGAAGAAGCACCGGCUAACUCCGUGCCAGCGGCCGCGUAAUUC
rnacentral:rRNA from 1 species